rnacentral:rRNA from 1 species
UAACGGCCUACCAAGGCAUCGAUCGGUAGCUGGUCUGAGAGGACGAUCAGCCACACUGGGAUUGAGAACGGCCCAGACUCCUACGGGGGGCAGCAGUGAGGAAUUUUCCGCAAUGGGGGCAACCCUGACGGAGCAACGCCUCGUGCAGGAGGACGCUUUUCGGAGUGUAAACUGCUUUUCUGUGGGAAGAGAAUGGACGGUACCACAGGAAGAAGCCCCGGCUAACUACGUGCCAGCAGCCGCGGUAAUACGUAGGGUGCGAGCGUUGCUCGGAUUGACUGGGCGUAAAGGGCGCGUAGGCGGCUUGUACAGUCAGACGUGAAAUUCCUGGGCUCAACCUGGGGGCUGCGUUUGAUACGUGCGGGCUUGAGUUCGGAAGAGGGUCGUGGAAUUCCCAGUGUAGAGGUGAAAUU